GUCAGGGCAAAAAGAUGCAGUCAACGAUCGAGCAGGUGGGGAAGUGGAAUUGCUUGCUCCCCAUUAUGAGGGGGCAUUGCAAAGUGAUCAACAUCUCAUGUAGCACUACAUGUGGGAUGCACCCUAUGUAGCACUGAUUCUGUCACAUUCCCUGAAGAAGGCGUUGGAAGUUGUAAAAACUAUGAACCUGGUGGGGGGUGUAGGACUGUAUCUUUCGUGCGGAAGAAGGAUUCACGUUUCUUCACAUGAAUCCACCAUUGAUCAUGCAAUGGUUGCUUCGAGAACUUUGUAAAG
rnacentral:lncRNA from 1 species